rnacentral:rRNA from 1 species
AGGACGAACGCUGGCGGCGUGCUUAACACAUGCAAGUCGAGCGGAAAGGCCCUUCGGGGUACUCGAGCGGCGAACGGGUGAGUAACACGUGAGCAACCUGCCCUUGGCUCUGGGAUAGCCUCCGGAAACGGGGAUUAAUACCGGACAUUCACUUUCUCCUGCAUGGGGGUCGGUGGAAAGUUUUUCGGCCAGGGAGAGGCUCGCGGCCUAUCAGCUUGUUGGCGGGGUAACGGCCCACCAAGGCGACGACGGGUAGCCGGCCUGAGAGGGGCGAGUCGGCCACACUGGGACUGAGACACGGCCCAGACUCCUACGGGAGGCAGCAGUGGGGAAUAUUGCACAAUGGGCGCAAGCCUGAUGCAGCGACGCCGCGUGGGGGAUGAAGGCCUUCGGGUUGUAAACCCUUUCACCAGGAGCGAAUUCAGACGGUACCUGGGGAAGAAGCGCCGGCUAACUACGUGCCAGCAGCCGC